CUCUCUCUGUGUCUCUCUGUGUCUCUCUGUGUGUCUCUGUGUGUGUCUGUGUGUCUUCUCUCCAGGAGAGGAAUGAAAUGUUAUUGCAGUUUAGCCAUUUCAGUAUUUAUUUACAAUGAUUGAGCCUUUGCAAUUCAGAAUGUAUCUUUGUACAUUGAAUAUGAAUAUAUAUAUGAUUAUAUAUGAGACAUGAACAUUGCUUGGGUUGAUUGCUUUGACAACAGUUGUUGCUUUUGAAAUGAUAUGAAUUUGUUGUGUAGGGGGUAACCUUACUCAGCUAUGCACUAUGUCUGAGGGGAGAGGAGUGAGGCGGGUUUGCUUCAGGCUUGUUUUUGAUUUUUGAAGUAUAACCCCUGCAGCCUGUCCACAGACUCUGACACAAUCAGUUUUCAACUAAUGCAGGAAAAAAAGUCAAACUAUAGUCGAGUAGCGAGCAACUUCAUCCCACCACAGCACGAUAGAGCAUCUCUCCCUCCUCCACAGGUCUGUCAUCCCUCUCAUCUGCAUACUGUAUGCGUGUCAUUAACUUAGCAGGGACUUUCUCUCUUCCAGGUUAGCAGUACACACGCCAUCCUUUACUUCUACAGCGUCUCUAGCCUUACUCAUUUUUAACAGUCAAUUAAAGCAACUUUUGUUGGCAAGUUCUGUCUACUUGUAAUGUUUUGUCUUCAUCAGAAAGUAUUCACAGCUAGUCUAAGAUAUAGAGCUGAUGCUUUAUAGAAGUUUCUUUGACUUCAACCUUGCAGUGAAACUCACCAGUAAACAAAAACUGACCAAUCCGACGCAAAACAACACCACUUAAACCUGGCUUACUUCACUAAACCAGGCUCAUUGUCCCUUCCGUAAAUAGGUUAAAAAAAAAUAUAUAUAUGUAUAAAUUGUGUGUGUGUGUGU